GACGAACCGGACAAACGUUAUUCGGAAUUACUGGGCUUAAAGAGUGCGUAGGCGGCUUGGCAAGUUGGGUGUGAAAUCCCUCGGCUCAACCGAGGAACUGCGCCCAAAACUGCUUGGCUUGAGGAAGAUAGGGGUGAGCGGAACAGAUGGUGGAGCGGUGAAAUGCGUUGAUAUCAUCUGGAACACCGGUGGCGAAGGCGGCUCACUGGAUCUUUUCUGACGCUGAGGCACGAAAGCUAGGGUAGCGAACGGG
rnacentral:misc_RNA from 1 species